UCCGCCGCGGUAAUACCGGCAGCCCAAGUGAUGGCCGAUCUUAUUGGGCCUAAAGCGUCCGUAGCUGGCUGCGCAAGUCCGUCGGGAAAUCCACUCGCCCAACGAGUGGGCGUCCGACGGAAACUGCACAGCUUGGGACCGGAAGGCUCGAAGGGUACGUUCGGGGUAGGAGUGAAAUCCUAUAAUCCCGCACGGACCACCGAUGGCGAAAGCACUUCGAGAAAACGGAUCCGACAGUGAGGGACGAAAGCCAGGGUCUCCAACCGGAUUAGAAACUCUGGUAGUCC
rnacentral:rRNA from 1 species